ensembl:lincRNA
CAAACAUCUGUUAUUUAUUUUUCAUUUUUUGGGUAAAUGAAAAAGCAACAAACCCCGUUUCCCGAAAAUGGAGCCUGAAUUCCACCCAUGUGGUCCUUGGCCUAGAAUGUGACACAGCCACGGAGUGAAGGUUAGGAAUGAGAGCUGACUUUCUAUGUGAUCCUGGGCAAGCCACCCACAUCUCAGAGCUUCAGUCUCCCCACUGUGAAGGACAGACUGUCAUUUCUAUCUCCACCAGAGCUAGGCAUGUAGGGCUAAAAGCUGAGAACGCCAAGACAUCUUCUGCAGCUCCUCUCUCUGUGCCUUGGAUGACCCUCCCAGCUACAAAUUCUAGGCAGUCUGUUCUGCUUGGGCAGGUGUUACUUUGUUCUCAAGCCCAUCACACCAUGCAGACAUCACCUUCUCCUUCUGGAGACUAGCACAUCCUUCAGGGAGCUGGAACCAGUUGUGAACUGAAGGAUGCCAAGCAUCUGCUGAACAGCAAGAAAACAGUCAAACUGGUGAAAACUGCAGCUCGACAUGGCACGGGGGGAGGACCCCAGAAUCGGAAGGCAGGAGGCCUGGUGCCGGCUUUCACUCUGUUACUGACUCAGUUAUCCACUCACUCACACUUUCAACAACAUGUAUCAAGCACUUCUGUGUUCAGGCACUGGUCUAAGUCCUGCAGAUGUAUUGGUGACAAGACCCUAGCUCUUCUGGGACUUACCAUCCGGAAAAGAGUCAGACACACAGAGAGGAAAAUACAUAUGAGAGAAUAGGUUGAUGUCAUAGGGAAUGACUGGAUGGGCUACCUCAGUUUUGAGGUCAGGAAGGGCCUCUCUGAGUACUGACAUUUCAGCUGAAGUGUGAGUUACUAAUCUAAAAAGGAAACAGUCAUUCAAGGAUCCUGAGGAAGGGCAUUCCAGGAUGAACAGCUGGUGAAAAAGUCCUAAGGUGGAAAUAGAUAGCAGGUUUUCACGGGACAAAAAGACUAGUAUUGCUUGAGUGGAGAGAUGAGUGGUAAGUGAUUUGAAAUGACUUUGAAGAGGUAGGCAGAAGCCAUGUAACCUCUUGCUUUAAGGAAUUUGGACUUUAUUUCGAGUACAAUGGGAAAGCAUGGUGCCGGGGGCCAGCGUGAGGAACUCCACCCAUGGCCAAGGUCAUGAGGAAGGAGGCUUCGGCAUAUGCAAAGGCGGGAUCGAGCCUCAGGAAACCCCCUGUUCCCGAGCAUCUACCCCCAAAACCAGAGUCUGUUUUAUGCUCUCACGUAUACCUCUGACUUUACGGGGGGCUGUUCCCCCACCACCUCUCUCGGAGAAGGAGUUAACUUGCAGCUCCAGUUAAUAAAAAUUCCUGGGCGUGACAAGAGUGUUUCAACUUACAAACUCCUCUAAAGCGUCUCUAGCCUGCCUGAGCGGGUUCGUCCGGCCACAUGUGAUUGUUUACAGCCUCCCAACCGUGAGAGGCAGGAGAUGCUUUAAAACUUUCUAAAUACAGACUCUUUUGAGAAGUUAGAAAAUUAUUAGUAGAGUAUAGUGGGUUGAUUAGAAAUUAUACUGGUGAAGGGUUUUUCAUUUGUUGAGCCAAUAUUUGCUGCUAAAUCUCCAUAUUCCCUGCCCUUAUAAUGAAUAUAACUAGCAUGUAGGAAAAAUAUGUAUUAACCUUUAAGAUUAAUCACUUUAACCUUAGGUAAAUAAAUUCCUUUCUUAGUUGUAACCCACUACAUCUUCACCCUAUAGGAAUGCAACUUUAUCUGGUACCUUCAGAGGGUGGUGCCUGGUUUAAGAAAAAACACCCUUGGAAAAAAUAAGUUUUUUGGUUAUCAGAAAGAAAGGAUCAUAAAAUGUCAGCAGGCUUCAUGGCCAGAAGAUGAUGUAAAACCCCUAAGACCUUUUUUUAUACAUUUAUGUGAAGCACCUGAUUUUGAUAAAGGUCAGGACUGCUGACCCCCACGUGACUUUAAAAUUUCCAUUUGUCUCUAUGCGUAACAAAAAGGUAUAUAAGCAAACCUAAAAAAUAAAGGAAUGGAAUCAGUUUCUGGAAAGACUGAUUCCCCCCGUCGCUCUUUCUUUCCCCUUCUGUCUGAAUUCCCAUCUGGAGCAUGGGUACUCACCAUGUCUACUUACUUGCCCUGGCUUCUAAGAUCCGUGGGAGAGGGAGCCCAAGGCGGGGCACCCUCUGAUAUUCAAAUGGGCGCAGGUGGCCCAACGUAGAUGGUGCAAAUUGCUUGUCUUGGAGUUUUAUUGGUAUUCCAUGUAAACCAAGUUAUUCAGCCUCUUUUUCUCCACUAAUUUUCCUACUACACUAUUCCUUUCUAAUCUCUGUCUUUAUACUUCUAAUUAAAUAGCUUUUUCCUAGGACGCCGAUUCCGUCUCCCCUUCGAAUU